AAAAAAAAAACCCACGUGGUUUCGCACUAUUUCAUUUUAGUAUCCUAUAAUUUUAAAGUAUAUCAAGUACCCUGUGGUUUCUCACUUUAUCAUUUUAGUACCCUGUGGUUUAAAGUGUAUCAAGUUAGUACUCUAUGAUUUUAUUUUUGUAUCAAGUUAGUACCCUGUAAUUUUAUUUUUGUAUUAAGUUAGAACUCUGUGGUUUUUAAACCGCAGGGUACUAAAGUGAUAAAGUGCGAAACCACAUGGUACUAAUUAAAAUGAUAAAGUGCGAAACCGCAUGGUAUUAACUUGAUACACUUUAAACCACAGGAUACUAAAGUGAAAAAGUGCAAAACCAUAUGGUACUAACUUGAUACACUUUAAACCACAGGUACUAAAGUGAUAAAAAGUGAAACCACAAGAGAGAUAUUUGAAGUUUUUCCUAAAACUUUUUUUUUUUCUCUUCUUUUCUCUUUUUCAUUUUUUAACCAUACGUAGCUAUGUAAUUUUUUCCCUAGAGCUGUAAAAUAUUUAUUUAUAUAUCUAGUUAUAUAUUUAGUCAUUUACUCCUCUAGAUAUUAUAUAAAUUAGAAUUAUUUUUACAACCGAUUUCCUUAAUUACAAGUUUCCCAGCUGGACUCUAUAGACUUAGGUUGGAAUACUAUCAAUAGCACCAAGCAUUUGGCACUAUUAGGUUUUCGGUCCUUGGAUUAAAAAAUGUACGGUUAAGAUGAUGUGGACCCUCUAGGGUUGAGUGAGUUGUUGGUUUAAUAGUAGAAUCUAAUGGGUGAAAAUAGUCAAAGAAUUAAAUAUAACGACGGAAAACUUGAUAGCAUCAAAUGCGUGGUGCUAUUGAUAGUAUCCCAGCCAGACUCUAUGUCUAUAUAUCCAUCAAAAGAAAUAGUUUCCAACUAAAACAUUCUUACGUAAAAAAA
rnacentral:lncRNA from 1 species